rnacentral:guide_RNA from 1 species
AUAAACAAUAAUCAUAACGGGAUAUGAGAUGUGAUUUAUAAUGAUGAUGUAG